GGAUGGGUACCCAAGUGGUUGAAGGGACCGGUCUUGAAAACCGGCGACGGUUUGCGCCGUCCGUGGGUUCGAAUCCCACCUCAUCCG
rnacentral:tRNA from 1 species